ACGCUCGACACCUACGGGAGGCAGCAGUGGGGAAUAUUGCACAAUGGGGGAAACCCUGAUGCAGCAACGCCGCGUGAAGGAAGACGGUUUUCGGAUUGUAAACUUCUGUUCUUAGUGAAGAUAGUGACGGUAGCUAAGGAGCAAGCCACGGCUAACUACGUGACAGCAGCCGCGGUAAUCUGAGCGGGCUGGCAAGGC
rnacentral:rRNA from 1 species